UCAGAUAAACCAUCUGAGAAAAUAAAAGUGAAAGCUGCUCAUGUCCUAUAAAAGGGAGUGUGCAGAGCCACAAACUCAAUGGAAAGGACUGAAGGGGAAACAUUUAUGAUAAUUUUUUUUAUUGGAGUCACUCUUUCCAGAGCCACAUAAGCAAAGAUCCCUUUCACCAUCAUCUUACACACUGGACCUUUAAGUUACAAUCUGAUUGCAUCUUCCUCCACUUGGCUUAAUUCCUGCAUUAACAUGUAGUCUGACUCUUCUACUUUACAGCAAUGGAAAAACG